GGUGGGCGUAGUUCAGUUGGUUAGAGCGUCAGAUUGUGGUUCUGAAUGUCGUGGGUUCGAGUCCCACCCCCCACCC
rnacentral:tRNA from 2 species